GUCAAUUGUUAUUAGUAUAGCUAAAAGGGUGGAUGUCUGGCUGUUAACCAGAAGGUUGGUGGUUCGAGCCCACCCAAGGACG